rnacentral:snRNA from 1 species
AUACUUACCUGGUGCCGGGGCCUCGUUGAUCACGAGGACGAUCCCCCAGGGCGAGGCGCGAGCAUUGCACUGCGCUCGCGUUGACCCCUGCGACUGCUUCAAAUCCGGUUCAACGCAAGAAAGGGC